rnacentral:rRNA from 1 species
UACGUAGGUCCCGAGCGUUGUCCGGAUUUACUGGGCGUAAAGGGAGCGUAGGCGGACUUUUAAGUGAGAUGUGAAAUACUCGGGCUCAACCUGAGUGCUGCAUUUCAAACUGGAAGUCUAGAGUGCAGGAGAGGAGAAUGGAAUUCCUAGUGUAGCGGUGAAAUGCGUAGAGAUUAGGAAGAACACCAGUGGCGAAGGCGGUUCUCUGGACUGUAACUGACGCUGAGGCUCGAAAGCGUGGGGAGCAAACAGG